UAAGGCGAUUCGAACUCCCGACGUCCCAGCAUUGAGGUGAAAAACUUUGCACCGUGGGGCUGAGCCUGUUCCGUGUAUGGUCGAGAGAGAGAGAGAGAGAGAGAGUACUAAGGGCAUCCGAGCCGUGGGAGGAAGAAAGAGUUUAAAGCACUUGUCUCCUUCGCUGGUGUGUGCGGAUGGGAAGCCGAUUAGCUGUUCACACAGGAGGAAAACAACCAUUAAGGUUCUAUGUAUGCAAACCAUCUUGGAGUUAGCAAGCUACCUUGGCCUACUCUCUCUAGCACUACUGUUCCACACACGAUUACGAACUCAAAGUUCCAAUGAAUGGCAAGUGCUCUGGCCGGCUGUCUCUUUGAAUCCAUGGCACUUAGCAAUCAUUUGGUUUGGCAUCUCCGUGGUAAUUCAUCAGAGCUGGAUAUUGCCAAAGAUUAAGGUCAGAGCUUGGAGAUGAUCCCCAAGAAGAUAUUAGAUGGGAAGAGGAAGCAUUUAGAUGGUGAUUGUAGAAAGAAGAUGAAUGUGGGAUCUGCUUGGAGCCUUGCACCAAAAUGGUUUUGCCAAACGGCUAUCAAGCAAUGUGCACCAAUUGCAACUGUGAUUGGUAAAAGUAAAUCUCUUUCUUUCUUUCUUUCUUUCUUUAUUUCUUUCUUUGUAGUGCAAGACUUUGUAUUGCUUGUUAAGACUUACAAUGGCAAGCUUGUUUGCGGUUAACCCAAAAAACAAUGAACCAACUUCUUUUAAGAGCACCUGAGAGUCGAAUUAUAUUAACAAAGAAACUAAAUACAUUCUUUUGGAAGAUCCUUUGCUCUUUAUCUUCAUUGUGGUGUUAAAUGUUUUCUGAUUUUUCUGAUAUAUACUGCCCUGGCUUAUACAACUUCUCAUACCACCUAAUACAUGGAAUUGCAUCAGUAUUAUAUUGUCGUCAACCAGUCAUGAAGCAUACGAGUUUACUGAUAUUAUAAUAACCUUUACGUGAUGACAAAAUUAGGAGAAUAUAGACAAGAAUGUGAGCCCCUCUUUGAUUUUGAGCUAUAAAAGCAGUUUUCAAGAACAGGAAACGUAAAAUAAUUCUCAGAGAGCAGAAAAAGAGUGUUCUCUAAAAUUAUAUAUUUUUUUUACCCUGUUCCUAGAGAACAGUUUCCUGAAAAUGCUCACUCAAGUGAAAUUUCGAAAUAUUUUCUAUAUAUGUACCAUCCUGCUUCAGCCGUCCAAUUUCAACUUGUAGUAUGGAUGAUAUAUUGAGCUCAUUUCAAAGUAGUAUAAGCAUGAGUUUCAAUUUUUCCUAUUGCAUGUGUUGACCCUACGGAUUUCUCCUAAGGGCAAUUCGGUACUUUUGAUGAUAACAAACCAUUAAUGAUGUUCAAUGGACUAAUGUUUUCAUUGAAGUUCAAUUCCAGAUCAAAAGGAACAUUAUAAGGACAGGAAGGAAGUAUCCAACUCACUGAAGCUAAAAUCACACUGGAACAUUCAUCAAGAUACAACCGGCUCAAGGAAGUGUACGUAACUUCAAAGAUCAUAAAAGCCUAUCUAUAAGGUAGAAAGGUUGGUGAAUGACUUAGGAACUAAAUGUAAAGAAUCUAUGAGAUCAUCUGAAGCUCUUUGUAAGAUCAUUCAUCUCUCACACACUUCAGAUCAUCACACUCAUGCAUAUCAUAGUUCCAAUCAUUAACACUAAGUAUCUAAAUCUUGAGGCAUCACACAGCAGCAAUCAAAUAGGUUAAGAUUGAACUCAACCAACUCAGUCAGCAAUCCAGCCGACUGGAUUAGGCCGAGACUCAACAAAUUCAGGAAGGUAACUCAGUCGGCUCAAUUAACAAAUCAGCCGGCUCAGUUCACAACUGAGCCGACUCAGUUUGAAAAUUCAGUCGACUUAAUUAGGCUAAGGCUAUGCAUUUUGAAAAUCUUGAAUCUAUCCAACUUAGCCGACUUGGUUAUUAACCAAGUCGACUUGUUCUUGAACCCAGCCGACUCAAUUCACAAUUGAGUCGACUUAGUUGAUGGUCAACCAGAUCUGCAUUGAAAUCCUCCAUAUUUCAACCCGUGCUUCUCUUUAUGCUUUUGCAGUUUGACUCACAUGGGUUCACUGACAUAUUGUGUGUCUUCUAGCUCUUGUCUUGAUGUCAACAGCCAUUUUAUCUAUUAAAGGAUCAUACACAUGAUUUCAAAUCUUAUCUGCCCUAUGCACUAAACACUUCUGUCAAACAAGGAAUCUCUGUCAUGGGAAGCUUCUCUACCAAAUGUGCCAUGACAAGUCUUAAUCAAGAAAAGGACUUUCAACGGCUAAGUCAAGGGCUUACAACGGUUAUGGUCUAUGAAAGAGCUCUGUAAAUGUUAUGAGAAGCAAGCUGCAAAAGAUAAGUCUCUGAGCCUCAUUUUCAACAAGUGAUUCAUAUCAUCUUACUGAGAAAGAAAGUUUGGUUACCCUCCACUCUUUAAUCCUCAAAGCUAAACUUCAGAUUCUUCUUUCACACAUACUUCAUUUAGAGAGAGUGAGCUUCAUUUGUAUCAUUGGAUUCUCUAGAAAGAGUGAACUACUGUGAGAGAAAGAUUGUUGUAACACACUUAUUCAUUUCAUUGUAAGAUUAGGAGAAGAAAUUUUCUUAGUCCAAUUACUGUAAGGGCUGGUUUGGCCCCUAAGACUUUGAGAGAGAAUCUCUCAGCCAAGAAACUGUUUCUUUCAAGGUUUGCUCUCCACCCGUAAGGAGGAGCCAUAUUGGAUUGGAAAGUCUCAAGAGGGGUCUUGAGCCGAGGAGUAGGAGCUUCCAAACCUCGCUAAAAUCGCUGUGUCUAUGUUUGCAAUAUCUCUAUCUCUCCCCUUUACAUUACUGCUUACAUUUAUAUGCUGAUUUAUCUGACUUGAUUCUGUUAUCUCACUAUUGCAUAUCAGCUUAAGUAGUUAUUCUAAGAAUACUUUUUCAAAUCUUUAAACUUGCUUUAGUUGGACAAGGACUCUAUUCACCCCCCCUCUAGAGUCCAUUCUUGGGCAACAGCAUGUUUAAUUGACUUCCUGAAGCUGGUACUUGAAUA